CGGGAGAUGGCUGAGUGGUCGAUAGCGGCGGUCUUGAAAACCGUUGAGGGUCAUACCUCCGGGGGUUCGAAUCCCUCUCUCCCGGCCA
rnacentral:tRNA from 3 species